UACGUAGGGUGCAAGCGUUUGUCCGGAAUUAUUGGGCGUAAAGAGCUCGUAGGCGGUCUGUUGCGUCGGCUGUGAAAACCCGGGGCUCAACCUCGGGCCUGCAGUGGGUACGGGCAGACUGGAGUGUGGUAGGGGAGACUGGAAUUCCUGGUGUAGCGGUGGAAUGCGCAGAUAUCAGGAGGAACACCGAUGGCGAAGGCAGGUCUCUGGGCCACUACUGACGCUGAGAAGCGAAAGCAUGGGGAGCGAACAGG
rnacentral:rRNA from 1 species